rnacentral:rRNA from 2 species
GAGAUAACCGCUGAAAGCAUCUAAGCGGGAAACUUGCCUUGAGAUGAGUCUUCCCUUGACUUGAGGUCACGGAAGGAACGUUUAAGACGAAGACGUGGAUAGGCUGGGUGUGUAAGCGCAGCGAUGCAUUGAGCUGACCAGUACUAAUGAACCGAGAGGCUUAACCUUACAACGCCGAAGGUGUUU